rnacentral:rRNA from 1 species
GAUGAACGCUGGCGGCGUGCCUAAUACAUGCAAGUCGAGCGAACGGACGAGAAGCUUGCUUCUCUGAUGUUAGCGGCGGACGGGUGAGUAACACGUGGAUAACCUACCUAUAAGACUGGGAUAACUUCGGGAAACCGGAGCUAAUACCGGAUAAUAUUUUGAACCGCAUGGUUCAAAAGUGAAAGACGGUCUUGCUGUCACUUAUAGAUGGAUCCGCGCUGCAUUAGCUAGUUGGUAAGGUAACGGCUUACCAAGGCAACGAUGCAUAGCCGACCUGAGAGGGUGAUCGGCCACACUGGAACUGAGACACGGUCCAGACUCCUACGGGAGGCAGCAGUAGGGAAUCUUCCGCAAUGGGCGAAAGCCUGACGGAGCAACGCCGCGUGAGUGAUGAAGGUCUUCGGAUCGUAAAACUCUGUUAUUAGGGAAGAACAUAUGUGUAAGUAACUGUGCACAUCUUGACGGUACCUAAUCAGAAAGCCACGGCUAACUACGUGCCAGCAGCCGCGGUAAUACGUAGGUGGCAAGCGUUAUCCGGAAUUAUUGGGCGUAAAGCGCGCGUAGGCGGUUUUUUAAGUCUGAUGUGAAAGCCCACGGCUCAACCGUGGAGGGUCAUUGGAAACUGGAAAACUUGAGUGCAGAAGAGGAAAGUGGAAUUCCAUGUGUAGCGGUGAAAUGCGCAGAGAUAUGGAGGAACACCAGUGGCGAAGGCGACUUUCUGGUCUGUAACUGACGCUGAUGUGCGAAAGCGUGGGGAUCAAACAGGAUUAGAUACCCUGGUAGUCCACGCCGUAAACGAUGAGUGCUAAGUGUUAGGGGGUUUCCGCCCCUUAGUGCUGCAGCUAACGCAUUAAGCACUCCGCCUGGGGAGUACGAUCGCAAGGUUGAAACUCAAAGGAAUUGACGGGGACCCGCACAAGCGGUGGAGCAUGUGGUUUAAUUCGAAGCAACGCGAAGAACCUUACCAAAUCUUGACAUCCUUUGACAACUCUAGAGAUAGAGCCUUCCCCUUCGGGGGACAAAGUGACAGGUGGUGCAUGGUUGUCGUCAGCUCGUGUCGUGAGAUGUUGGGUUAAGUCCCGCAACGAGCGCAACCCUUAAGCUUAGUUGCCAUCAUUAAGUUGGGCACUCUAAGUUGACUGCCGGUGACAAACCGGAGGAAGGUGGGGAUGACGUCAAAUCAUCAUGCCCCUUAUGAUUUGGGCUACACACGUGCUACAAUGGACAAUACAAGGGGCAGCGAAACCGCGAGGUCAAGCAAAUCCCAUAAAGUUGUUCUCAGUUCGGAUUGUAGUCUGCAACUCGACUACAUGAAGCUGGAAUCGCUAGUAAUCGUAGAUCAGCAUGCUACGGUGAAUACGUUCCCGGGUCU